rnacentral:sRNA from 1 species
CCUCACCAGCCAGCCCACAGCGGUUUGUUCCCCUUCUCGGGAGUGCGCCAAUGCCUGGGCCGACCCAAACCCUGUCCCCAAAUGGCGAGAACAACAACGACAUCAUCCAGGAUAAUAACGGGACCAUCAUUCCUUUCCGGAAGCACACAGUGCGCGGGGAGCGUUCCUACAGUUGGGGAAUGGCGGUCAAUGUGUAUUCUACCUCGAUAACCCAAGAGACUAUGAGCAGACAUGACAUCAUUGCAUGGGUUAAUGACAUAGUAUCUUUAAACUACACAAAAGUGGAACAGCUUUGUUCAGGUAAGACAUAUUCUUUUAAGUGUUUACCUAAAUAUUUACAGUCUGUCAUGUGGAAUGUGAUUUUAUGAACCACAGCUGCUAUAUUUUGGGUAGGAAAAAGUAUAUAUUGCUAUUGGCAUGUAAUUAAAGGGGGAAAAACUCAGAUAUAACUAAAGGACAUAUUGGGAAAAGUGUUUAUGAGCAUCCAGGAGCACAAGCAGAGCCACACGGACACGUAUUGGAAAGGUCUCUUGAGCUUCGUAAUGCCUUUCACUGGCUCCUAGCCUCUUCUCUGUCAUCCCAUCUGCCAUCACACUUGCCUCCUGAAAACACCAAUUG